rfam:Nematostella vectensis strain CH2 x CH6 NEMVEscaffold_2491_Cont42032, whole genome shotgun sequence.
GUUGGGGAGGCCGAGUGGUUAAGGCGUUGGAAUAGAAAUCCAAUGGGAUCUUCCCGCGCAGGCCCGAAUCCUGCCCGCAACG